rnacentral:rRNA from 1 species
CCCUUAGAUGUUCUGGGCUGCACGCGCGCUACACUGAUGCGCUCAACGAGUUUUAACCUUGCCUGGAAAGGUUGGGUAAUCUUUUUAAAACGCAUCGUGAUGGGGAUAGAUUAUUGCAAUUAUUAAUCUUCAACGAGGAAUUCCUAGUAAGCGCGAGUCAUCAGCUCGUGCUGAUUACGUCCCUGCCCUUUGUACACACCGCCCGUCGCUCCUACCGAUUGAAUGAUCCGGUGAGGCCCCCGGAUUGUGGCAAUGGCUCUGGUUCGCCAGACCAAUGCUGCGAGAAGCUGUCCAAACCUUAUCAUUUAGAGGAAGGAGAAGUCGUAACA